CGGAAUACUCCGAUGCUCCAGAAUCAUGAGCGAGGCCAUAGACUCUGACCAUCACCUCCAUGGUGAUGAGAAGACGUCUUCAGGCUGCGCAGACCCGUCCACCUCUGAGCACAAGAUCUACACCAUCCACAGCACCGCGCACACACACAAUGCAGGGAAACCAGAGCCUCUCAUGCUAAAGCUUGAUGAGAGGCAGAGACUGGCCCGAGAGAGGAGGGAGGAGAAGGAGCGACAGAUAGGUAUCACGCACGCACGCACGCACACAGAACUUCUAAAUGACUAGAAAAUAAAGUUUCCCUCCCGAGGUUCACUU
ensembl:lncRNA